GUGUCAGCCGCCGCGGUAAAACGUAGGACACGAGCGUUAUCCGGAGUUACUGGGCGUAAAGGGCGUUUAGGCGGGUGAUUAAGUUCGCUAUGAAAGCGCCAGGCUAAACCUGGCGAGGCUGGCGGAUACUGGUCAUCUGGAGUAAGGGAGAGGGAGGUAGAAUUCCGCGUGUAGUGGUGAAAUGCGUAGAGAUGCGGAGGAAUACCAGUGGCGAAGGCGGCCUCCUGGCCCUUAACUGACGCUGAAGCGCGAAAGCAUGGGGAGCGAACGGGAUUAGAAACCCCCGUAGUCC
rnacentral:rRNA from 1 species